UACGGGGGGGGCAAGCGUUGUUCGGAAUUACUGGGCGUAAAGGGCUCGUAGGUGGCCAACUAAGUCAGACGUGAAAUCCCUCAGCUUAACUGGGGAACUGCGUCUGAUACUGGAUGGCUUGAGAUUGGGAGAGGGAUGCGGAAUUCCAGGUGUAGCGGUGAAAUGCGUAGAUAUCUGGAGGAACACCGGUGGCGAAGGCGGCAUCCUGGACCAACACUGACACUGAGGAGAGAAAGCCAGGGGAGCAAACGGG
rnacentral:rRNA from 1 species